rnacentral:rRNA from 1 species
CUUGGUCAUUUAGAGGAAGUAAAAGUCGUAACAAGGUUUCCGUAGGUGAACCUGCGGAAGGAUCAUUAUAGAGUUCAUGCCCUUAUGGGUAGAUCUCCCACCCUUGAAUACCAUACCUUCGUUGCUUUGGCGGGCCACGUUCGCGUGCCGGCUUCGGCUGGCUGCGCCCGCCAGAGAACCCAAACUCGUUUGUUUAGUGAUGUCUGAGUACUAUAUAUAAUAGUUAAAACUUUCAACAACGGAUCUCUUGGUUCUGGCAUCGAUGAAGAACGCAGCGAAAUGCGAUAAGUAAUGUGAAUUGCAGAAUUCAGUGAAUCAUCGAAUCUUUGAACGCACAUUGCGCCCCUUGGUAUUCCGAGGGGCAUGCCUGUUCGAGCGUCAUUAUGACCACUCAAGCCUGGCUUGGUGUUGGGGUCCGCGGUUCUGCGGCCCUUAAAAUCAGUGGCGGCGCCAUCUGGCUCUAAGCGUAGUAAUACUCCUCGCUAUAGAGUCCCGGUGGAUGCUUGCCAGCAACCCCAAUCUUCACGGUUGACCUCGGAUCAGGUAGGGAUACCCGCUGAACUUAAGCAUAUCAAUAAGCGGAGGA